GCUGCUUUGAGGUAUGGGUUAAUCAGGAGCUGGUCCACUCCAAGAGACAAACUGGGAAGUUUCCUGAUCCUCAACAGGUGAAGGCGGCAGUGAUGAGGGCGAGUUCAGGAGGGGCAGGAGGGGGCUGCUAUACCGUGCAGAGGACAUCGUCCGGGGAUGACGAUAGUGGUCCAUCAGGAAUCUGGUGACUCAGACAAGCAAACGCUCUUUUAGAUCAAGGAGAAUAAUAUAAGAACUAAAUUCACAGAUCAAGAGUGUUUUGUUUCCUGAAGAUCCAAAUACAUCCUGGUGUAUUCACUAACAAAGCAUUAAAAAAAAAUCAAAUUUUUUUAAUGCAAUGAAACAAUGUUAAAGCAAUUAACGUUGAACAAAAUCCAAUCCCUCAGUAACGACCUUUAGCCAUGAAAACAGGCCACACACUCAAAUUAAAAACAGACAAUGACAGAAAAUGAUGAGAGCAACUCUGGAGGAUCCAGGGCACUGAUCUGCACAACUGUUUAUGAAUGUACACGCUUAAAAAGAUGUAGUGUGUACAUGAUGGAAGCCCAAAAGUUUUGCAACAAACUGGAGCCUGAGGAACUGCUCUCAUUAUGUCAGUCUGACAUAUACUCAUAAAUCAAUGUCUGUAACGCUGCACUCACUCAGGAGUUAAAAAUCUUACAUAUCUCUUGUGUAACUCUUUAUAAAGAGAUUUAAGGACAUACUCUUCCUCACUGUUCUGCCAAGUGUUAUCAUGAAUAAAAAGAGCAUACAACAGAGCAUCAUACAACGCUAGCACUGAUAAGUCUGUUUGUGAAUAAACAGUUAGAAUUGUUAGCUUAGAGCUUCUCUAAUAUUGACUUGUGAACAUGGUACAAAAUCUGGAUGUAAACACAAAUUUCAACAGGGGUUUUUGAGUGGAUUUUCUUGGCUGGGACAUCCUAGAGGCUCCACAAGUCCUGGCAAUCCCUAGUCACAGAGUCAUGCUAAUAACCCCUGAAAAAUGGCAUCCCUCAUCUUGAAGUGUGAAUUUUAUACAAAUAUCAACACAAAAAUAUCAAACAUGUUAAUUUGUGAACUUUGGAGGUGCUAGAUGUCACUUUUUCAACACUGAGAGAAAGCCAGUCUAGCUAGUUCAAGUCUUCAUGCUAGCUCAUGCAUAAUUAGGAAACACAAGCUUGAUGUUAAACUUUUAUCAAGCUCAAAGGCAAGAAAGUGAAAAAAGGGUAUUUCCAAAAGCUGUCUCAUUAAGCUUGUAAUCUUUUAGGGUCCACUUUCCUCUCUGACCUGGAGAAAAACACUGAGUCUUUGAACAUAGAAAUUCUGUAGACACCUUACAUGACCUUAGGUGUGCAUUCCCUGACAGAUGACAGCUUCUCAUGUCUGUUCCUUUUAUAACCUUAUAUACAUUAACACUGACUCAAACUUCUUUAACAUGUCAGAUCUAUUCUUUUUUUUUUAAAUCUGCCAUAUAUUCCCUACUUUGCAAUAUCUACCCGAACUCUGAUGUGGAUUUUAUUUUAAGUGCUAAAUAAUGCGUAUGUGCUCUUAUCUUUUGUACUAUUCUCACGUUUUAGCAGUUAAAAUAAACAAUGAAAAUUUUAGAUUU